GACGAACGCUGGCGGCGUGCUUAACACAUGCAAGUCGAACGGAAAGGCCCCUUUGGGGGUACUCGAGUGGCGAACGGGUGAGUAACACGUGAGUAACCUGCCCUUGACUUCGGGAUAACUUCAGGAAACUGGGGCUAAUACCGGAUAGGAAUCCUUGCUGCAUGGUGGGGGUUGGAAAGCUUCGGCGGGUUUGGAUGGACUCGCAGCUUAUCAGCUUGUUGGUGGGGUAGUGGCUUACCAAGGCUUUGACGGGUAGCCGGCCUGAGAGGGCGACCGGCCACAUUGGGACUGAGAGACGGCCCAGACUCCUACGGGAGGCAGCAGUGGGGAAUAUUGCACGAUGGGCGGAGGCCUGAUGCAGCAACGCCGCGGGCGGGAUGACGGCCUUCGGGUUGUAAACCGCUUUCAGCAGGAGCGAAGCUUGUGGUGACGGUACCUGCAGAAGAAGCACCGGCUAACUACGUG
rnacentral:rRNA from 1 species